GUCUGCUUGGAGAUAUAAGAAGUCUAGCCUGCUCUCUGAUGUAUUUAAGGGCCGCGGUAACUUGACCGUGCAAAGGUAGCAUAAUAGUUAGUUUUUUAAUUGGGAUCUUGUAUGAAUGGUUGGACAAAAGAAAUACUGUCUCUAAGGCUUUAUUUGAAUUUAACUUUUAAGUGAAAAGGCUUAAAUUAAUUAAAAAGACGAUAAGACCCUAUAAAGCUUAAUAAAAUAUCUUGUUUGGCCUAGUUAGAAAAUAAAGUCCUUAUGAGUGAAUUUAUUAUGAAGGGGAGACAACAUUAUAAUUUUAAAUAGCUGCGGUGAAGUAAUACAAGUAUGGGUGUUUAUAUAUUAAAAGAUCCUUUUUAAAGAUUAAAAGUUUAAGUUACUUUAGGGAUAACAGCGUUAUUUUUCUUGAGAGUUCAUAUCGAAAGAAAAGAUUGCGACCUCGAUGUUGAAUUAAAAUUAUUUUUCUUGAGAGUUAGCUGCUAUAGAAGGUCUGUUCGACCUUUGAAUUUUUACAUGAUUUGAGUUCAGACCGGCGUGAGCCAGGUUGGUUUCUAUCUUUUAAUAAAAAAAAGUUAUUUUAGUACGAAAGGAUUUAGUAGCUGAAUUUUUUUCUUGGUUGAAG
rnacentral:rRNA from 1 species